CUGCGGCCUCGCCCACGUUAUGGCGCCCGAGGAGAACGCGGGGACCGAACUCUUGCUGCAGGGUUUUGAGCGCCGCUUCCUGGCGGUGCGCACACUGCGCUCCUUCCCCUGGCAGGUGGGCGGCGGGGCGAGCGGAGAGGCCCGCGGGGGUCGCGGGAGUCCAGGGGCAGACGGGAUGGGUCUCCGUGCUGAAACCCCCGGCGCUCCGGCCACGUGCACCCUGCGACAUCUGAAGGUCAGGCUUUCAGCCGCUGUGGCUUCCACUUCCAACUGGCUCCACGUCCCCAGGGAGGGAUCACAUAGAGCUUUGCCAACACAUUCUAUUGCGUGUUUAAUGUUCCUGUGAAUGGGCCCUUGAGAUUUCUCUCUCUCCCAUCCACACAGAGCUUAGAGGCAAAGUUAAGAGACUCAUCAGAUUCUGAGCUGCUGCGGGAUAUUUUGCAGAAGACUGUGAGGCAUCCUGUGUGUGUGAAGCACCCGCCGUCAGUCAAGUAUGCCUGGUGCUUUCUCUCAGAACUCAUCAAAAAGACGUGCUGUAUUGCCCAGAAGCCAUCGUGU
rnacentral:lncRNA from 10 species